rnacentral:rRNA from 1 species
AUCGAACGCUGGCGGCAUGCCUAACACAUGCAAGUCGAACGGCAGCACGGGGGGUAACCCCUGGUGGCGAGUGGCGAACGGGAGAGUAAUAUAUCGGAACGUGUCCUGUAGCGGGGGCUAACCUAACGAAAGAUGGACUAAUACCGCAUACGACCUACGGGUGAAAGCGGAGGACCGCAAGGCCUCGCACUAUAGGAGCGGCCGAUAACGGAUUAGCUAGUUGGCGGGGUGACGGCCAACCAAGGGGACGAUCCGCAGCCGGACGGAGAGGACGGUCAGCCACACUGGAACUGAGACACGGUCCAGACUCCUGCGGGAGGCAGCAGUCGGGAAUUUUAGGCAAUGGGCGCGAGCCUGAUCCAGCCAUGCCGCGUGAGUGAAGACGGCCUUGCGGUUGUAAAGCUCUUUCGGCGGGGGCGAACCGGUUCGUGCUAAUACCACGGGCUACUGACGGUACCCGCAGAAGAAGCACCGGCUAACUACGUG